UCAAGACCAGCCAGCCUGAACUGCACAGUGAGACCCUAUUUCAAAAAGACAAAUAAUUAAGUAAAUAUGUUUUGGUAUCUCAGCAAGGUUUUAUGAUUUUCUUCAAAUACAUUCAGUACCUUCCUAUCAAUUUGAUCUCCAAAUAUUUUGUUUUAUAUGGUUUUUUUCCCUUGAGUACCAGGGAUUGAACCCAGGGCCUUUGCACUGAGCUACAGCCACAGACCUUUAUGUUUUUGAAACAAAGUCUUGCUAAGUCACUAAGUGGCCCACAUGGGGCUCAAAGUUGAAAUCCUUCUGACUCAGCCUUCCAGAGUACAGGGAUUAUAGGUAUGCACCAUGCCUUGCUUAUUUUUGCUAAAUGAGACUUUAAUUUUACUUCCUUUUAUUAAACAUAAACACUGUUAUUUAAAUAUUAGUCUACUAAUUUAGAAAUGCACUCAUAUUUGAUAUGCUUUGUAACCAUCAAUCCACUAUAUUCUCUAAUUAGGGCUGUUUUUUAAAAACUUCUGUUUCUACAGGUUGCAAUCCACUGAUUUACAAAUUAUGAUUAAUCUCACUUUUUUUUUUUUUAGCCAAUUUUAUACUUCUCAUUUGUGUUGCAAGAAUGAAACUUGCUAACUUGUUCUGUUAGCUGUAAAAUACCCAUUGCCAUGACUUCCUGGGACCUCGUGAUGCACUUCUGCAGGGCACUGCGGCAGAUGGCUCCAGCAGGGGAUGACACAGCAGAAUGCAGGGAAAGGAAGUCAAGUUUAAAGUCCUUAUCAGAUUUGGAACAGACGGUGGGAAAGUGACUAGCUUACUCAGUGUGGCCUCUGGACCAUGGCUGGUGCCGGAGCUGUUUGGCACUCACAGCAAGCACACACCUAAAGCGUCUCUGGCUGUGGCUGUCAUGUUCAGCGACACGACUGGCAAAGCUGCUUACUGAACAGUGGAGACCAGUGUUAACCCGACACCUGGUGAACUGGCCCUUCACCACAGAUUGUGUGAGAAAUGCUUCUUUAGACUACAGGUCUCUAGAUUUAGAGAAGCAACAUCGGGCCUGAAGGAAGCUUGCGGCUGAGAACAAGGGACAACACAGCAGCUCCCAAGGUCAAAGUCAGGGUGAGACAAAUGCCAUCUCAGCCACAGCCAAAGCCAGGCACACCCAAGGGUCAGAUGACUCUGUUUGACAACACCCUUGCCCCAAGAGAGAUGACAGGGCUGUCCUCUGGAGCGGCACAUGUCCACAGUGACCAAGAAGAAUCUUCUGUCACCUGGCAGAGUGGUGACUCAGCGGAAUUUUUUUUAAAAGCAGAAAAAGAAUGCAACAUCUUAUUUCUUGCCAGCUUGAGUCUGUGGACUGAGAUUCAUGCCAGGGUGACAGAUGUCAGUGGACACUUACUUGGAGUUUGAUUUUAAUGGGCUGCGUCUGGUGGGUUUUUUUAGAAAGGGCUCAGAGUGCCUGGCACAAAGGAUAAUUAGAGCUGGAUAAAAACAGGCCGAGACAUGUGACUGAGAAAUUUUGGAACACAAGACAAUCGUAUAAGGAUCCCAAGAGAAAAACUGCAACAAAGCAAGAGUCAGGACUCCAAGUGACAGCGAGACACCCACAGAUGUCGCACAGGAAGCAAAGGCGUCAUAGUCACAUCCUCCCUGUAGGAGGACGGCAGGUCCCUGAGAAGAGUUCUCCAGAGCGAGACGGUGGAGCGCUCGGAGGUUUACACAAGUGGGAGUCAGCUUGGGUUUAACUAUGGGUUGAUGCAUAGCAAAUGAUGCAAACAAACAGGAUUGUUAACUCUGGGGAAAAGUAAAAGUUGCGUGAGAAAAGUAAGUCCUGACGAGCAUCCCGGCCAAGCUGUGAGUAGGACAUACAUGCCCUCUGUGAUGUGAGCGUCAAUACCGACCCAAGUGAAACAGCGCAGACACACGGACAAGCAGAGGGGCCAGCAGUACGUGUCCCUGACGGCAGGCAGGGAGCACAGCUAAAUAAAUAAAAUUGGAAGGCCGACACUGAAAACCCCUGAAGUGGUAACAUAAAUAUGUCCUGUUGGUAAUCAAAGUUAAUGCUCAGAAGAGCCAGGUGUCUCGCGGACAGAAGGAAGAGGGGUUGCAGAUGACUAGUUCUCAGGAUGAGCCUUGGAGGAUUUAAAAAGGAGAAAUAUGUGCAUGGUAAUAUUUUGAAAAUAAACAAAAUUAAGAAAGAAAACUACUACCACCCCUCAUUUUUUGCAGCUUGUAACUUGGUCCUGUGUCCUUUCUCCCCCUCAGUCCCCAACUCUGCCCAUGCUGACUUCAGACUCCACUACAAGUGUGGCCCCGUCACAUCCCCUGCCCCACCGGUCACUGUCCAGCCCAAGUCCGUCUCAGUAAAGUCAUUUCAGACCCUGGUGGUUCUUGUUUCUGAUCAAAUUCACUUACAGCAGCAACAAUUUUUAAACUACUCACUUACUGUUUUACUGAUUGUAUUUGCUGGGCCAGUUCAAGUAUGGAUCACGCAUUCCACUUCAGUAAGCGGGAAACUUUGGUGGGUGGACAAGGUGGAUGAUUUAUUUUUAAUGCCGCGCAGGGGGCUAUGCCUGCAAUAGGUGCUCAAGAAACAUUUCACAGAAAGUUUAAAGGUAAGAUGCAUGGUGAAUUUGCAAUUUUCAAUCAAGGUCUGGAGAUAAAACCAAAGCUAAAGUUAUAACCGAUAAGACAUGAGGAGGAAUUAAUUGUAUUAACACAGCGCUGCUUUCAAAGUUCUGUGCUCUACUUGUUUGGUUAAUGUUUAAGUUGUUUUAAUGCAGAUAUAUUUUGCUCCCAAAGUACUCUCCAGUUCCAAGUGCCAGUGACCCAGGGCUUUGUAGAUGUAGGUCCAAUCAGACAACGACCGAUGUGACUUAUAGACUCUGUGCCUGCCUCCUUUGUUGUGCAAGAUUGCAAAGUCCAAAUCUCUGCAGGCUGAGAAAUGAGUUCUUUUAUUGGCAAUCUGAUGAGAUAUGAUUGUUGGAGAGAGAUGACUUUCCUGCCCUUUGCUGGAGGUAGGGAGAUGGAAAACCCAGGAGAGUGACAUACAUCAGGAGAUCUUCAUGAGGAACGUUCACAGCGAGCAGGAGCCUUGCCACGCUGUUCAGGACUUACAGUGGCUUCACUUCCCAUUAAAUGGGCAAACUUCCUGGCAUCUCCUGACAUAGCCAGAUCAACAUAAAAAAAAAAAAAA